rnacentral:rRNA from 1 species
CCUACGGGGUGCUGCAGUGGGGAAUAUUGGACAAUGGGCGAAAGCCUGAUCCAGCCAUGCCGCGUGUGUGAAGAAGGCCUUCGGGUUGUAAAGCACUUUCAGUGGGGAAGAAAGCCUUGGGGCUAAUACCCUCGAGGAAGGACAUCACCCACAGAAGAAGCACCGGCUAACUCCGUGCCAGCAGCCGCGGUAAUACGGAGGGUGCGAGCGUUAAUCGGAAUUACUGGGCGUAAAGCGCGCGUAGGCGGUCUGAUAAGCCGGUUGUGAAAGCCCCGGGCUCAACCUGGGAACGGCAUCCGGAACUGUCAGGCUAGAGUGCAGGAGAGGAAGGUAGAAUUCCCGGUGUAGCGGUGAAAUGCGUAGAGAUCGGGAGGAAUACCAGUGGCGAAGGCGGCCUUCUGGACUGACACUGACGCUGAGGUGCGAAAGCGUGGGUAGCAAACAGGAUUAGAUACCCGAGUGGUC